rnacentral:rRNA from 1 species
GAGAUCGGGAUAACACCUGGAAACAGAUGCUAAUACCGGAUAACAACAGAUGAUGCCUAUCAACUGUUUAAAAGAUGGUUCUGCUAUCACUCUUGGAUGGACCUGCGGUGCAUUAGCUAGUUGGUAGGGUAACGGCCUACCAAGGCGAUGAUGCAUAGCCGAGUUGAGAGACUGAUCGGCCACAUUGGGACUGAGACACGGCCCAAACUCCUACGGGAGGCAGCAGU